CUAAUUUUCAAAUUGAUGCACCACUUCGUUUUGACUUAUUAUUCCUUCAACUGAAAUCGCCAUCUAGAUCUCCAAUUAGACUCUUUUUGGUAUCAUCUUCUCUGUGUAUCUCUCUAUUGAUAUUUUCAAUUACAAGACCUGCUAUACACAUUUAUGACGUCUCAAGAGCAAAGUCGGCCAUUGCCCAAAUUCGGUGAAUGGGAUGUGAAUGAUCCAGCCUCAGCUGACGGAUUCACAGUAAUAUUUGCAAAAGCUAGAGAUGAGAAAAAUGGCACCAGUACUUCUCCAAUUCUGCACCACCAGCAUCACCAAGGACUGAAGCUGCAUCCACACAAAAUGACUCUUAUCACCAAGAUCCACUGAAAAAGUGGUUUUGCUGUUUCUGAAACCUGGCUGUUUGCUUAGCUGCCGAUCGCGAAACAAAAGGCCAUUCAUUGCAGUUCAAGCGUGCUAGUCUAGUUAUAGAAGUGGGGGAAUACUUGCUACUCCCUGUAUUUUGUUUUCCUAUAAUGGUAUGUGUAGCAUAAAGGUUCUUCAAGUAUCCCCUAUACGGAUUCCAAGAAGGAACAUCCAACGUACGCCAAAAACAUGUACUCUUCUUUUGUAAUUUACAAUUUUAGUUGCUUCAAUACGCUUGACUAAUAUACCAUGAUGAAUAGACGCGUAAC